GCGUGGAAAGCUCAGUUGGUGAGAGCGUGGUGGUGAUAACGCCAAGGUCACAGGUUCGAUUCCCGGGUGGGGCA